rnacentral:rRNA from 1 species
AGAGUUUGAUCAUGGCUCAGAACGAACGCUGGCGGCGUGCUUAACACAUGCAAGUCGAGUGCGCGGUUGUAGCAAUACAACUGGCGCACGGCGCACGGGUGCGUAACACGUGGGCAAUCUGCCCUCCGAUGGGGUAUAACUCCGGGAAACCGAAGCUAAUUCCGCAUAACAUUCCCUGGACUCCGGUUCGGGGAUUCAAAGCAACAAUGCGUCGGAGGAGGAGCCCGCGCCCGAUUAGCUAGUUGGUGAGGUAACGGCUCACCAAGGCUAUGAUCGGUAGCUGGUCUGAGAGGAUGGCCAGCCACACUGGAACUGAGACACGGUCCAGACUCCUACGGGAGGCAGCAGUGGGGAAUCUUGCGCAAUGGGCGAAAGCCUGACGCAGCGACGCCGCGUGGGGGAUGAAGCUUCUCGGAGUGUAAACCCCUUUCGACCGGGACGAAUGCCCGCAAGGGAGUGACGGUACCGGUAGAAGAAGCCCCGGCUAACUACGUGCCAGCAGCCGCGGUAAGACGUAGGGGGCCAGCGUUGUUCGGAAUUACUGGGUGUAAAGGGUUCGUAGGCGGUGUGGCAAGUCGGGAGUGAAAUUUCUGGGCUUAACUCAGAACCUGCUUCCGAAACUGCUGUGCUGGAGUGUGGGAGAGGCGCGUGGAAUUGCAGGUGUAGCGGUGAAAUGCGUAGAUAUCUGCAGGAACACCCGUGGCGAAAGCGGCGCGCUGGACCACUACUGACGCUGAGGAACGAAAGCUAGGGGAGCAAACAGGAUUAGAUACCCUGGUAGUCCUAGCCCUAAACGAUCAGGACUUGGGGUGCCACCCGUUCGGGUGUCGUCCCGGAGCUAACGCGUUAAGUCCUGCACCUGGGGAGUACGGUCGCAAGACUGAAACUCAAAGGAAUUGACGGGGGCCCGCACAAGC